UUCAUUGGCUAUCAACUUACAAGGCAGAUGGAAGACAGCAAGCAUGAGUGCUAGUGCUGGGCUAAACAUCAAUUGCAAGUGAUCUUUAAGAAAGGAGUAAAUUCCUCAAGGAGAAAGCUCUUUCACGGAAGCCAGGCUAGGCUUCCAUCCAGCAAGCAACCCCAGCCGGCAUCUCUCCGGCCUCUUGAUGGGUGGCAUGAAGGGCUUCUGAAUAUCUCGUUCAACUCCAUUUUCAAACCUCUUGGAAAGACAAUCUGACCACUUCUCCUUUGAAACAUAGAAAUCCUUGGCAGAACAGACAGACUCUUCUGAAACUCCAUCACCCUCUUCUCCUUCCACCUUGUCUAGAACUGUCUCCUUUGCAUCCCCAUCUCCUCUUAAUCUGCAGGGAUUUUUCUCCUGAGUUUCGUGACAGUCGACCUGGGUACGAGAUAGAACUUCUGGCCUGGAAGCAGCCUUUCCUUGGGGCCAACAAGGGACUCAUGUGGCUUUUUGAAGACCUCCGGCCGGGCAACGCACAAGCCUGGAUGCUUCUCCAUCACCAAAUAAGCCGGGACUGCAGCUGAAUAGAGUUCAACUAUUCCACCAGCUAGAACUAUC
rnacentral:lncRNA from 1 species